rnacentral:lncRNA from 1 species
CCAGUUCCAUUUACACAAACUGAAACAAAACUAUAAAGGUGACUAAAUCUUCCAUUGACAUUAUGCGUGUUUUAUUUCAACUAUACUGAAAUCUACAUGAGGUUGUGAUUCAUGAAAUGUACCUUGAUUUGAGAUGAAAUAAGAGAAUGAAAGUCAGUUGAGGCAGACAGAACAAGAAACAACAGUAUGAACUCAAACAACCCAGCAAUUUAGAAUCAACAAGCAACUCAAAUU